rnacentral:pre_miRNA from 1 species
UCACCUCCGCAGGCUGCGGGCCCCAGGCUGGGCUGGGCGAGUAUCUAUUCCAAAGGCUCAGCCUCAAGCACGACUAGGAGC